rnacentral:rRNA from 1 species
UACGCAGGGGGCUAGCGUUGCUCGGAAUCACUGGGCGUAAAGCGCACGUAGGCGGAUCUUUAAGUCAGAGGUGAAAUCCCAAGGCUCAACCUUGGAACUGCCUUUGAUACUGGGGAUCUCGAGUCCGGAAGAGGUGAGUGGAACUGCGAGUGUAGAGGUGAAAUUCGUAGAUAUUCGCAAGAACACCAGUGGCGAAGGCGGCUCACUGGUCCGGUACUGACGCUGAGGUGCGAAAGCGUGGGGAGCAAACAGG